AGUGGCCUCAACCAAGAGGUGGCAUAUAUAAGACCACUUCAGACUAACCUAGACACCAACAGUGGCUGUGAACAAGAGAUUCAAGAAGUGGCUUUAGAGAAAUGCCAGAUAUGUGAACAAAUGACUCCUCUGCAAUCAAAUUGUCAACACAUAAGACAGUUCACAAGAUUCCUAGAUGGGCUGCGUUCUUGUGGAGUUCUUGAUGCAGUAAGGGCUCACCCAGCCAUAUUCAAGCCCAUUUUCACAAAUACCAACCUGAAGCUGACAGAUGAUAGAACAGUUAUUUAAAGAAAAUUGUUUGGAUAGAGGGAGCAAUCGAUAUAGAAAAUAAAACCAUCAGCUAUUGGAGAGAUUAUCUACUGGAUGCAGAGAGUAUGGUUUCUUCAUUAUUUUUAUAUGUUUCAUGGGCAGCCAUGUUAGGGUUUAUACAUAGGUUAUACACUAUUAAUCAGGGGUGUCAAACUCUAAUCCUGGAAGAUACAAAGUGGGUGCAGGUUUUCACUCCAGGCACUUUCUUAAUUAGUAAUGAGGAACUACUGCUAAUUUAGCUUAAUGAAUAUGCCUUAACUAUGACUGACUUGCCUGUUUUUUGUUUUUUUUUUUCUUUUUUCUUAACCAGCAGCCAAACCGUAGAGAGAUACAUAGCAAGCCAACAGAUAACUGAUUCAGCGUGUUACAAUCAGUCCUAGAAGGCUGCCUUUUUAAUCAACCAUCUUCUUAUUUAGCUGUUAAUGAAACACUUUAAUUGUAUGGCUUGUUAGUAUUCUCAUUCUGUCACACCAAUGAAGAUCUAAAUAUUUUGUGGACCAGAGAAGAUCAGUAUUUCUCAGAUCUUAAUAUUUAAUUUUCAGAUAUAUUAUUGAGACACACUGAGUCAUUCUAAUAAACGUUAUAAGGAACAUUUUACACUAAGCCUAAAAUUCAUAUGCCUUGUAUGGUGACACUAUAAAUUCAAAUCCACCCAAGGACUAUU